UUUUUUUUUUUUUUUUUUGGUAGAAUUUCCUAUCUCAAAGUAGCAUCUCUCCACCUACCAUUUCCAAACCUUACUGCUUCUUAGGGACAUGAUUCUGAGAUGACCCCUCUCUGGUUUUACAGGGAAGGUGUGGUACAGUCAGACACCAGGUAAAAACACCUCUGUGAGACUAGAAUGGUCAAUCUUUUGAAGAAGUCACAGUGCUGGAGAAAAGGGAAGAGAUGCCAGAGAUAUUUUGUAAGUAGAACUGAGAGGAUAUGGUGACCCAAUAGGUAUAUGAAAUGAAGGAAAGCUGGGCAUUAAGAAAUGAAUCUUCUGGUUUGGGAGACUGAAUAUAAAAGAUACCAUCAACCAACAUAUAGGAUAUGGGUGGAGGUACAAGUACCAUGAUCAGGAGGUUAAGUUUGACCUGAAAACAAUGAGACAUGCUUUAGUAAUUACUCAUAUAAAUUCAGAAGAGAGAAACCAGAGAUUUUACCAUACCACAUUUCAUACAUUUAUUGGUAGUUAAUUUAUUGCAAGCCCAAGCAAAUGAACACUAUAUAUACUAAGCUAUAAAAUUCAUUAUCAGUCAGGUCCAGACAACUCUGGGGGUUAUUAUUUGGGAUUAUUUAAAUAUAUCAAAUACAACUUAAAGCUUUGAAGCAGACACUACUUUUGUGGAUGUGAAUCCACUGCAAAGUUAAUUUAUUAUGGCUCUUGUCUGAAAAGUUGUUGGGGCAAAUAAGAGAUUUGAAGAGUAGGAGAACAGAUUUUUCCAUCAUGACAUAUUUUUAUGUGCUUUAGCUAUUGCACAAUUUGAAAGGAUUUGGCAUAACAUUACUUUUUAUGAUCAUAUCAUCAAGUCUAAACAUCAUUUUUGGCUAUGAAAGGAAAGAAGUAUAUUGUUCCUAAGUAUAAAUAUUCAGGAGGUAGGGAUGGAAGUUGGAGAGAUGAAGAAUUCAAACAGAAACAAAAAUGGCUUUCCCUUUUUUAGUUUUUGAGAGCUUCCAUACAGAAUUAACCUGAGCUGAAAAUAGGCAGAAUUAUAUCUUUGAAUCAAUAUAUUUUUGGUUCUCUGUAUUCAAAAGGGAUGCCAAGGAUGUAUUUUGUAAACAAAGACUAGAUUUAUGGAAGCACACCUAGCACACUGAUGAUCAUAUACAGCUGUUUAAUCUGAUUCCCAUAGAUUCCAAGACUGUUUCCACUGAUGAAUUCAUACAAUUGAAUUAAUUCAUUCACAAGUAUUAUUGUGCCAGGCAGUACUGUAUGUAUGGACCUGAGAAUAAAACUGGACAAGUCCUUUCCUAAUAGGGGAGAGAGACAAUAAGAAACCCACAUAAAUAGAAAUAUAAUAUCCAAGAAGACUUUGUGCUAUGAAGAGUGCCAAGUAAAAAGGCCUAUUUUACAUAGAUGAGCUUAAAAUAGUGGCCAGGAAUAUGAUCAUGUAGAUUUUAUAGGACAUGAUAAGGGAUAUAUAUUAUAGUAGAAUCAGUAGGACUUGAUGAUGGAUUGAAUGAGGAUGAGAGGGAAAGGAAGGGGUCACGAAUGACACCCAUAUUUUUGACUUAAGCAACUGAGGAUUUAGUGACACUCUAAGAAAAAUAGGGAAAAUUGGGAGAAACAAUUUUAGAUAGAACACUGAGAAGUUAUCUGGAGAUAUAGACUGGAUAUACAAAGAUGGUGCAGGGCCAUGUGGUGUCUAAGUCUAGAGGUCAUGGAGAAUUCAGAACUGAGGCUAUAAAUUUGGAAAACCUCUGUAUAUGUAAAUUUUUUAAGCCAUGGGAAAAGUUGAGAUAAUAUGAAUGUAGGUAAAGAAGGGAAAAGGACUGAGAUUCCAAGAGCAUUUCCUACAUCUUGAGGUCCUGAAAAGGACAAUAAACUGCAAAGUAGACUGCAUGGGCCUAUAAAUUGUUGAUAUUCUCUAUCAACACUGAGAAUCAAUACCCUGGGAAAAUAAAAAACUUUUUAAAAGAAUAUUAAGGAAACUGGGAACCACUGGGCUUUAAAAAUCUAAUA
rnacentral:lncRNA from 1 species